rnacentral:lncRNA from 1 species
AUAAAAAGCGGCAAUUCAUAUAAGCUCUAACGUGAGUACAUCCUGCCAAGUCAGAAGAAACUAAAAAGUACAAAGGGGCGGAAGUUCCAAUGUAGGCAUCUACAAGAACUUUCCUAAAUGACGAACAAUAUAGGAGGUGAUCCAGUAUACUGCCUUGUUCGCCUCCUGAAAAACAUGAGCUACCUGAUGCACACCCCACUUCACUACCAGCCUCCGUGUCUUACGAAUAAACGGAUGUCCAUCUCCAUACCUAUCCACGCCCCGAAGUCACUCGAUCACCAUAGAUGAGUCUUCUUCGAUGUACACCCACUUGGCACCAAGCAUCCGCCUUGUAUAUGAUAUCCCCUUCCAAGCUGCUCGAAGCUUCGCCCCAGCUACGGUAAGACUUGGCGUGCGUCGACUCCUUGCUGCUACCAGACUGCUAUAGUGGUCUCUGAUCACAAAUCUAACACCUCCGGACCUCCCAUC